GGGCCCAUAGCUCAAUCGGUUAGAGCGGUUGACUCAUAAUCAAUAGGUUCUAGGUUCAAGUCCUAGUGGGCCCACCA
rnacentral:tRNA from 1 species